rnacentral:rRNA from 1 species
CAAUAGCGUAUAUUAAAGUUGUUGCAGUUAAAAAGCUCGUAGUUGGAUUUCGGGGCAGCCUGGCUGGUCCGCCGCAAGGCGAGUACUGGUCAGCCGCCCUUCCUCUCGAAAGCCCCGACUGCUCUUCGUUGCAGUGGUCGGGUAGUUCGGGACGUUUACUUUGAAAAAAUUAGAGUGUUCAAGGCAGGCCUACGCCUGAAUACAUUAGCAUGGAAUAAUGGAAGAGGACCUCGGUCCUAUUUUGUUGGUUUCCAGGGCCGAAGUAAUGAUUAAGAGGGACAGUUGGGGGCAUUCGUAUUUAAUUGUCAGAGGUGAAACUCUCGGAUUUAUGAAAGACGAACAACUGCGAAAGCAUUUGCCAAGGAUGUUUUCAUUAA